GCCAGACUCCUACGGGAGGCAGCAGUGAGGAAUAUUGGUCAAUGGCCGAGAGGCUGAACCAGCCAAGUCGCGUGAGGGAAGACGGCCCUACGGGUUGUAAACCUCUUUUGUCGGGGAGCAAAGCGAGUCACGUGUGACUCAUUGAGAGUACCCGAAGAAAAAGCAUCGGCUAACUCCGUGCCAGCAGCCGCGGUAAUACGGAGGAUGCGAGCGUUAUCCGGAUUUAUUGGGUUUAAAGGGUGCGUAGGCGGAAGGUUAAGUCAGCGGUCAAAUGUCGGUGCUCAACACCGGCCUGCCGUUGAAACUGGCCUUCUUGAGUGAGCGAGAAGUAUGCGGAAUGCAUGGUGUAGCGGUGAAAUGCAUAGAUAUCACGCAGAACUCCGAUUGCGAAGGCAGCAUACCGGCGCUCAACUGACGCUGAGGCACGAAAGCGUGGGGAUCGAACAGGAUUAGAUACCCCCGUACCA
rnacentral:rRNA from 1 species